rnacentral:rRNA from 1 species
GACGUAGGGCGCGAGCGUUGUCCGGAUUUAUUGGGCGUAAAGAGCUCGUAGGCGGCUUGUCGCGUCGACUGUGAAAACCCGCGGCUCAACUGCGGGCCUGCAGCCGAUACGGGCAGGCUAGAGUUCGGUAGGGGAGACUGGAAUUCCGGGUGUAGCGGUGGAAUGCGUAGAGAUCCGGAAGAACACCUAUGGCGAAGGCAGCACUCUGGGACGGUACUGGACGCUGAAGACGCGAAAGCGUGGGGAGCGAACAGG